rnacentral:rRNA from 1 species
AUUGAACGCUGGCGGCAUGCCUUACACAUGCAAGUCGAACGGCAGCACGGGUGCUUGCACCUGGUGGCGAGUGGCGAACGGGUGAGUAAUACAUCGGAACAUGUCCUGUAGUGGGGGAUAGCCCGGCGAAAGCCGGAUUAAUACCGCAUACGAUCUACGGAUGAAAGCGGGGGACCUUCGGGCCUCGCGCUAUAGGGUUGGCCGAUGGCUGAUUAGCUAGUUGGUGGGGUAAAGGCCUACCAAGGCGACGAUCAGUAGCUGGUCUGAGAGGACGACCAGCCACACUGGGACUGAGACACGGCCCAGACUCCUACGGGAGGCAGCAGUGGGGAAUUUUGGACAAUGGGCGAAAGCCUGAUCCAGCAAUGCCGCGUGUGUGAAGAAGGCCUUCGGGUUGUAAAGCGCUUUUGUCCGGAAAGAAAUCCUUGGCUCUAAUACAGUCGGGGGAUGACGGUACCGGAAGAAUAAGCACCGGCUAACUACGUG